AAUUUCCACUUGUUUAUAAGUGUAUCUGGGAGAAAUGUAUAAAAUAAUCUACAGCACAGGAGGCAGGUCAGUGUGGAAGGGAAGGCGCUCGCCUAAAACGAACAAUGCCAACAUUGAAGCCCUCGGUUGGAGUCUGCACAGUUGGAGAUCUUUGGUGCCAUUUUAGACAUCUUUGGAUUUCAUCAAUCAAACUGACUACAAUUUUCCAUAAAAACCCUGAAUUUGGGUCAGAAAGUGGGCAAAGCAGAUAAAGAUCGUUCGAGCUGUCUUAUAAGAUGAUAAAUAGAUAUCCUUUCAGUCCAACAAUGCAAGAAGUGCAGUUUUGUAAUUCACUUCCAUUGGUUUUGAAUGCAAUGCAGAUGUCAGCAUUUUGCAGCCCGGUUCCCGAGCGCGUCUCCGGACGCGGACUGAAGCGCAGCCCCGACGGAGCGGCGCAUCCCGGCUGGCAGCGUACCACAGCCCGGGGAGCGGGAACAAGAGGGGCAAGGCACCGGCAAG